UAGAUGCAUUGAAGUGGUAAGGGUAAAAUUGGAAGGAAUCAAAAGUUAAUGGCAUAACGGUAGAUAUGUUGAAGUGUUAGGGGCAAAAUGGGAAUUUAAUAAUAUUAAACAAAAGGUGAAUAGUGUUUUGAUGUGAUUUAAUUAGGGGGUUUGCUGUGGCUUUUGGAUGGAAACCGAGAGAGAGUCACAGGGGAGUCUCAGACGGACAGAGAGGAAGAAAAAGAAGGAGAGGAAAGGAAAGGA
rnacentral:lncRNA from 1 species